CAAUCUGCCCUGAAAUCUGGGAUAGCCCUUGGAAACGAGGAGUAAUACCGGAUGUGAUCGCCCCGCACCUGCGGGGUUGUUUAAAGGUGGGGAUCUUCGGACCUGCCGUUUCAGGAUGAGCCCGCGCACUAUCAGCUUGUUGGUGAGGUAACGGCUCACCGAGGCUUAGACGGUUAGCUGGUCUGAGAGGAUGGUCAGCCACACUGGGACUGAGACACUGCCCAG
rnacentral:rRNA from 1 species